ACUGUAUAAGAGGAUAUCGAGGAGGGUGAAGUCAUUGGGAUUAUCACUCUGGAAGAUGUAUUUGAAGAACUCCUGCAGGAGGAGAUUGUGGAUGAAACAGAUGAAUAUGUUGAUGUACAUAAAAGAAUACGUGUCGCUGCAGCUGCAGCUGCUUCAUCAGUGGCACGGGCUCCAUCAACUCGGAGGUUAAAUGUGAACAAGGGACCUGCCACUGGACAAAAUGCAGGCCAAAAAGUAAGCAAGGACUAACCCUCAAGAAAUCUGCUGAUGAUUGGCCCUCGGCAACAUUGCAACGGACUUCUGGCGAACCCCGUCUUUGAAAUAUGAGAAGAUUCAUCUUGCUCAUUCGUCAUUUCCUGAUCCGGUUGCUCCUCAGGGAACUGGCUUUGACUUGCAUCUAUGAAAGUUGUUUGUUUUUGUUUUCAAUUUUUGUUCUCCGGGUGGCAGGUAGGUUUCGAGAGGUGGAGUUCUACAUUAGAUUGCAUAGGAGGAUAUCAUUGGAAGUUUGGUACCUUACUAAUUAUUUCCACUCGUUUUUGGUUCAUAUUAAAUCGAUAGGUCGAGCUGCCUCUUUGGCUGGCUCUACUUUUUGUUUUGUAAACGACGGUAUAUGGAGAAAGUAGUUC